GACAAUUCCAGAUUCGAACCAGUCAGCAACCAGCGUCUGGAUAGGCCACACCACCACCCACCCAACCAGGCGCCGCGCAAGGAUGAGUGUUUUUAAGGAAAAUCAAUCCAAGCUCAGGAACACGUCUUGAGUUUCUAUUCUCGGAAAAAGGACUUGCAAUUAGCUGAAAAGUCGAGGCAAAGUGGAUCUAAAGGCACAUGUAGGAUUCUCUCUGUGUAUUCGGCGUCAAUUUAUGCUUAAUGAUCGGUGUUACAAAGGGGAGUUGUGCGGUAGGUUAAGACAAAAAAAUUCUACAAGGAAAUCAUCAUAACUUCAUUCGGGAAUCCACUUAAAAGGGAGAAUUAUUUCGGAAAGAAGCUAAGUCUGCUCAAGGCAUGGCAGGUUGGGCUUGGGUGGCAGAGGAGGCUCCAGAGGACCCGGCCCUGAGAGAGGGAGCCGAUGGCUGAGGAAUGAAGUGCUUCGCCCGGGUAGAAUGAAGAUGCAGGAGGGGAGAUCCCAGAACAACAAGUGAAGAAGAGUCACAAUGGGUGCCAAUGCAUCCAGCUACUCGCACUCAUGCUCCCCUCGUAUAGGAGGAAACACACAGAUACAGCAGACCUUCAUAGGGACGUCGUCAUACUCCCAGCAGGGCUAUAGCUGGGAGUCCAAGCUGUACAGCCUGGAGCAGGGUCACGACAAGCCCCAUGACAGGAAGAAGAAGAGCCUGGGCCUGGCCACCCUCAAGAGGAGGUUCAUCAAGCGCCGUAAGUCCAGCCGUUCUGCGGACCAUGCCCGCCAAAUGAAGGAGCUCCUGUCGGGGUGGGAUGUGCGUGAUGCCAAUGCCCUGGUGGAGGAGUAUGAGGGCACAGCCUCCCUCAAGGAGCUGAGCUUCCAUGCCAGCUUGGCGCGGGCCAAGGCACCCAGCCUGCAGCGUGACCUGGCUGCCCUUUACCAGCACAAGUACUGCACCGACGUGGACCUCAUCUUCCAGGACACCUGUUUCCCCGCCCACCGCGCCGUGCUGGCUUCCCGCUGCCCCUUCUUCAAGACCCUACUGUCCUCCUCUCCGGGGUACGGAGCUGAGGUCCUUAUGGACAUUGAGACGGCGGGUAUCGAUGUGCCCAUGUUCUCUGCACUACUGCACUACCUGUACACGGGGGAGUUUGGGGUGGGUGGGGUGGAGGACUCCAGGCUGCAGAACGUGGACGUGCUGGUGCAGCUGAGCGAGGAGUUCGGCACGCCCAACUCCCUGGAGGCAGACAUGAGAGGGCUGUUUGACUACAUGUGUUACUACGACGCCCUGCUCAGCUUCUCCUCCGACGCGGAGCUGGUGGAGGCCUACAGCAGUGGGGGGGCUGGAGGGGGAGUGGCCACAGGAGGCUGCCGGGGGCUGGGUUCCCCAGACAAGGACCUGAGGGCCCACAAGGCCGUGCUCUCGGCCCGCUCACCCUUUUUCCGGAACCUUCUGCAGCGGCGCAUCCGCACAGGGGAGGAGAUGACGGAGCGCACGCUGCAGACACCCACACGCAUCGUGCUGGACGAGUCCAUCAUCCCGCGGAAGUACGUGCGAGUCAUCCUUCACUGCAUGUACACGGAUGCGGUGGAGCUGGGGCUGGUGCUGAGGGGGAGCCCCUCGGCCGGGAGCCUGGGGGAGGUGCAGGUCCUGGUGGCCGGGGGCAGGGGAGGAGCUAGCACCCGCACUGAGGAGGCCAUGGAGCUCUACCACAUCGCGCUCUUCCUUGAGUUCAGCAUGCUGGCACAAGGCUGUGAGGACAUUGUGGUGGAGAGCCUGUCCCUGGACUGCCUGGUUCCCAUCCUGAAAUGGAGCUCUCAGCCCUACGGCUCUAAGUGGGUCCACCGCCAGGCCCUACACUUCCUGUGUGAGGAGUUCAGCCAGGUCGUGACCUCUGACGUACUCUACGAGCUCAGCAAGGAGCACCUGCUCACCGCUAUCCAGUCAGACUACCUACAGGCGAGUGAGCAGGACAUUCUCAAGUACGUUGUGAAGUGGGGCGAGCAGCAGCUUAUUAAGAGGAUGGCAGACCGGGAGCCUAACGUGCUGAGCGGAACAGCCCACAGCGUGAACAAGCGGGGGGUGAAGAGGAAGGACCUGGAUGUGGAGGAGCUGAAGGAGAUCCUGUCCCCCCUGCUUCCCUUCAUCCGCACUGAGCACAUCCUCCCUGCCAACAGCGACGUCCUCUCUGACGCGACAAAGAGGGGUCUGAUCAGUACCCCUCCCUCGGACAUGCUGCCCACGACUGAGGGGGGCAAGGCCAACUCGUGGUUACGGCAGAAGAACGGUGGCAUCUAUGUGCGACCACGUCUCUUCUCUCCAUACGUGGAGGAGGCCAAGUCUGUGCUGGAUGAGAUGAUGGUGGAACAGACAGAUCUGGUGCGUCUACGUUUGGUGCGCAUGUCCAACGUGCCAGACACCCUCUACAUGGUCAACAACGCCGUGCCACAGUGCUGUCACAUGAUCAACCAUCAGCAGAUGGCCAGCAGCCAGACCACCGCUCCGUCCGUGGUAGCCAAUGAGAUCCCAGUACCCAGACUGGUGGUGGUUAAGGAGAUGGUCCAGAGGCUGCAGGAGCUGAGUCACACCGACCAGGUCCAGAGGGCCUACGCCCUCAACUGUGGCGAGGGGCCCACCGUCAGCUAUGAGCUGCAGCUGCGUGUGCUGAGGGAGUUUGGCCUGGCGGAUGGGGCGACUGAGCUACUGCAGAACCCUUACAAGUUCUUCCCAGAGGAGCGUUUUGGAGACGAGAGUCCUGUUCUGGCCCUGCGCCAGGCAGGUCGUUGUCGGGUCAACAGCAGCCCAGCGAUGGACAGCAUGUUCUCAGACCUGGAGGGCCUGGCUGGGUUUCACCCCCCACUGCCUCCCCCACCACCCCCAUACCACCCCCCUGCCACCCCCAGCCGUGCCCAGCUGAAGGGGGCCUGGAGGCCUCGUGUGCCCAUCCCACCCCCCACCCGCUCUUUCUCCUACCCCUGUAACCACAGUCUGCUCCAGCUCCACACCACAGCCAAACAUGGCAGCCCAGACUACCCCUCAGCCCCCAGGCCUCCACCUCCAGACUGCGGCAACCCCCAGGCCAAGAGCCGAGCCCUGCUCCCAGAACCACAGCUGAGCAUGGAGCCUGUGAUGAGGGAGUUCAUGCCUGACAUCGCUCUGGGUGUCUCUGUCAUGACCCUGAGGGAGCACCAUAUGGGGGACAGGGACGGUCACGACCCUCAUGGCCCCAUGGCCCACCCGGCCCCACACCUCCCCCGGCCCCUGUCCCUCCACUCGCCUCAGCCUCAGUCAUGGUCACUCCUGUAAGAGGCACGCGACAGAGCCAAAGCUGGAGGCCCAGGCAGAGUUCCCUGAUCUGUAUGACUUCUCCUGCCGACCAACCACCGCAACAUCCAGCCACCCCCUGCCCCCCUACGCAGGGCCAGACCUCUACAGCCACAGCUCCUCCAGCCACCCUCCCUCCUACAUGUCUGACAGCCAGGGAAGGGCAGCUGAGGCACGCUCUGACCCCCUGCGCCUGGACGUCCUAGGCCUGCCCCCCCAGUGGCAGGAUGGAGCUCUGGCUAACCCCUCUAGUCCCCAGGCUGGGGAAGGACACAUCCCCAGAGGACGUUCAAACAAUGAGACCGACCUUACUCACGGUCUUGGCAACUUGUGUGGCUCCCCCAGUGGAAACCUAGAGGGGUAUGAGGAGCGGUCGUCGGCCCACAGGGAAGGCCCGAAGGAGAUGGCGGUUACUGGCGAGUCCCCAGGUUCAGGGGCCCAGCAGCCACAUAGGAACAGUAUUAGCGAGGAGGCUAGCAGAGAACGCAGGUCACCCAACAACCCUGACUACCCUUACAAGAAGUCUGCACUAUAACCCUCGGGGAGGACCUGGGGUUGAGUCGUCAAAAGGGAAAGUGAGGGAAACAACCCUCUGUCAUGGACAGCAAAGCACUAAUGAGUGUGUGAAGGGGUGGCUAAUGAUUUCUAUUUAUUGUGUGGUGUGUGUGUGUGUAAGUACCCUACCUCCUCCAGGCCUUUCUCCAUGACAUAGUGCUGUCUUCACCUCACGUCUCCUCUGAGUGCUACAGAGAAGCAGCAUCAGGACUGUAGGUUAGUUAGAGAAACAGCAGUGACUGUCAGACUGUUGUAUUGAAGCUUGGUGAAGCCAACCUCAAUGCUGCCGUUUUACAAUAUAACUCCAGCAGUACUGUUUGGGAGGGGUUUUGCCUAUUUCCCUUGAGCCUUGUUGCACCACAGGUUUGUUGUGACCUCAAAGUUGUGGGAAUCAGGAACAAAGAUCUUAUCAUAAAGAAGAUCAUAACAAAGACGUUACUAUGAUCGUAACCAUGAAAUGUAGUUCAGAUGUGCUGAGGAUGUAUAAUAUACAUAUGGACUGUAGUCCUCAGGAUAUAUUUUAACUGGGAGAUGUAUAAAUAGGAUCUCAGUAUAAACUAGUUAACACCAGCACAUAGCUUCAAUCAGCGUUAUCUUCAUGAUAAAAUCGUGUAGAAACAUUUUCUUGCUCCUCUCAUUUGUAUUUCCUCUCUCUUCCUGUAGCAUUCCUCCAGUACGUACCUCACCUGAUUGGUUACAUUUGAUUUCCCCUUUCUAGUGCUGCAUGUUACACAGAAAUGCUGAUGAGUAAUAGGCUCAGGCUAGUUCAGAUCAGGCAGGAAGUAAGGUCUGUUGAGGCUGUCAUUGUGCUGCCUCUUCAGUCUCUGAUAUACAGAGCAUUCAGAAUGUAUUCAGCCCCCUUGACUUUUUCUACAUUUUGUUAUGUUACAGGCUUAUUCUAAAAUUGAUUAAAUGGAUUUUUUCCCCUUGUCAAUCUAUACACAAUAACCCAUAAUGACAAAGCAAAAACAAAUAUUUGCAGACCCUUUACUCAGUACUUUGUUGAAGCACCUUUGGCAGCGAUUACAGCUUUGAGUCUUCUUGGGAAUGAUGCUACAAGCUUGUCAGGUUGGAUGGCGAGCAUCGCUGCACAGCUAUUUUCAGGUCUCUCCAGAGAUGUUCAAUCUGUGUUCAAGUCCGGGCUCUGGCUGGGCCACUCAAGGACAUUCAGAGACGUGUUCUGAAGCCACCAUGCUUCACCAUAGGGACUGUGCCAGGUUUCCUCCAGAUGUGAUUCUUGGCAUUCAGGCCAAAGAGUUCAAUCUUGGUUUCAUCAGAGCAGAUAAUCUUGUUUCUCAUGGUCUGAGCGUCUUUGGGUGCCUUUUACCAAACUCCAACUGGGCUGUCGUGUGCCUUUUACUGAGUAGUGGCUUAUGUUUGGCCACUCUACCAUAAAGGCCUGAUUGGUAGAGUGCUGCAGAGAUGGUUGUCCUUCUGGAAGAUUCUCCCAUCUCCACAGAGGACCUCUGGAGCUCUGUCAGAGUGACCAUCAGGUUCUUGGUCACCUCCCUGACCAAGGCCCUUCUCCUCCGAUUGCUCAGUUUUGCCAUGCGGCCAGCUCUAGGAAGAGUCUUGGUGGUUCCGAACGUCUUCCAUUUAAGAAUGAUGGAGGCCACUGUGUUCUUGGGGGAUCUUCAAUGCUGUAGACAUUUUUUGGUGCCCUUCCCCAGAUCUGUACCUCGACGCUAUCCUGUCUUGAAGCUUUACGGACAAUUCCUUCGACCUCAUGGCUUGAUUUCUACUCUGACAUGCACUGUCAACUGUGGGACCUUUAAAUAUAGACAGGUGUGUGCCUUUCCAAAUCAUGUCUAAUCAAUACAAUCUACCACAGUUGGUAAUCAUGUUGUAGAAACAUCUAAAGGAUAAUCAAUGGAAACAGGAUGCACCUGAACUCAAUUUCAAGUCUCACAGCAAAGGGUUCCAAAUACUUAUGUAAAUAAAGUAUUUAUUUUAAAAUGUAAUACAUUUGCAAAAAUUCUAAACCUGUUUUUUUCCAAUGUCAUUGUGGGGUAAUGAGUGUAGAUUGCUGAGAUUUUUUUAUUGAAUCCUUUUUUAGAACAAGGCUGUAAGGUAACAAAAUAUUGAAAAAGUCAAGGGUUCUGAAUACUUUCCCGAAGGCAAGAAAAAGUAUGUGAACCCUUUGGAAACACCUGGAUUUCUGCAUGAAUUGUUCAUAAUUUGAUCCGAUCAUCUAGGUCACAACAAUAGACAAACUCAGUCUGCUUAAACUAAUAACACACAAACAAUUAUACGUUUUCAUGUCUUAUUGAGCACACCGUGUGAACAUUCAGUGCAGGGUGGAAAAAGUGUAUGAACACUUGGAUUUAAUAACUGGUUGACCCUCCUUUUGGCAGCAAUAACCUCAACCAAACGUUUUUCUGUAGUUGAAGAUCAUACCUGCACAACGGUCAGGAGGAAUUUUAGACCGUUCUUCUUUACAAAACUGUCUCAGUUCAGCAAUAUUCUUGGGAUGUCUGGUGUGAACUUCUCUCAUGAGGUCAUACCACAGCAUCUAAAAUCGGGUUGAGGUCAGGACUCUUUUUUUUUCUGCUGUUGAAGCCAUUCUGUUGUUGAUUUACUUCGGUGUUGUGGGUCGUUGUCCUAUUGUGUCACCCAACUUCUGUUGAGCUUCAAUUUUCAGACAGAUAGCCUAACAUUCUCCUGCACAAUGUAUUAAUUCACUUGGGGAUUCAUUUUUCCGUCAUCGAUAGCAAAGAUGACUGCAAGAGCACAGAGCAGAAUGCUCAAUGUUAAGAAGAAUUGCCCAGGCCCUGAGGCAGCCCCAAGCCAUGAUGCUCCCUCAACCAUAGGUUUUUAUGUUGCUGUGCCUUUUUUUCACACGUAGUGUUGUGUGUUCCUUCCUGACAACUCAACUGUAGUUUCAUCUGUCCACAGAAUAUUUUGCCAAUAGAGCUGUGGAACAUCCAGUUGCACUUUUGCAAACUUCAGACGUAGAGCAAUGCUUUUUUUGGGGGGGGGGGGGAGCAGUGGCUUCUUCCAUGGUGUCCUCCCAUGAACACCAUUCUUGUUUAGUGUUUUACGUAUAGUAGACUCGUCAACAGAGAUGUUAUCAUGUUCCAGAGAUUUCUAUUAGUCUAUUAGUUGACAUUAGGAUUCUUCUUAACAUUGAGCAUUCUACUCUGUGCUCUUGCAGUCAGUCAUCUUUGCAGGAAGGCCACUCCUAGGGAGAGUAGCAACAGUGCUGAACUUUCUCCAUUUAUAGACAAUUUGUCUUAUCGUGGACUGAUGAACAUUGAGGCUUUUAGAGAUACUUUUGUAACCCCUUUCAGCUUUAUUCAAGUCAACAAUUUGUAAUCUUAGGUCUUCUGAGAUCUCUUUUGUUCGAGGCAUGGUUCACAUCAGGCAAACUCAAAUGUUGUGGAUUUUUUUUUUUUUAAUAGGGCAAAGCAGCUCUCAUCAACAUCCAGGUUAGCUGACUCCUUACUCCAAUUAGCUUUUGGAGAAGUCAUUAUGUAUUAUGUAUUAUAAAUGAUACAUUAUGUAUUCAAUAUAGACAAGAAAAAUACAAUAAUGUGUGUUAUUAGUUUAAGCACAUUGUCUAUUGUUGUGACUUAGAUGAAGAUCAGAUCAAAUUUGAUAACCAAUUUAUGCAGAAGUCCAGGUAAUUCCAAAGGGUUCACAUACUUUUUCUUGCCACUAUGUAUUUUCAAAAACAUGAGCCUGGGGGUUUUUGGAACAAGACUGGAGGGAGGGGGCAGAGGUUAAGGACUGAGGUACACUGGGAAAAAUAAUGGUGCAAUGAACACGCUAGUCAGGAGAUGUUUUAUUUCAGCUGAAUAUGUGUGUGUAGUUUAAUAAUUCCAGGUAACUGUAAAUAAUCUCAGUACUGUACACACUCCAUUUUUAAUCAGGUCUGUAUUUACCUAUAAACACAAGGCUCUGAUCUGAAAUGGUUAACCAGAGACCGACCAUAGAAUGCUGUGGUCAAUAUGCUUGAAACCACCUUGCUCUUUUAACGGCAUAAACAAUUAGAAGUCUUAAUCCACUUUUUGAAGUGACCAUAAGGGAUCCAUCACAAGCGUGACGCCACCACUGGCUCUACUAGUUGUUUGUGUGAAUCUAAUGUUCACCCUCGAACACUAUCCAUUCACAUGUCCUCAGUCUGUUCAUUUGUGUUGUUCCUAUGUACAAUGUAACCACUGUCACUCCACCUUUUGGCUGAUCCUGGACCUGCGAAGACCUGCUCGCUGUCGUCGGAGGUUACGGCAUACUGUAUGAGAGCUACUGGGGCUGUUGCUACAGAAACCAAAGUGCACCCAUCAGAUCCUGUGAGAUCAGCCACACAUGUCUCCUCUAACACAAACUGACAAACCCAUGAUACAGGCAACAUUGCACUGUAGAAAUGAUCCAUUUCACAUGGGAGCAGGGGGAUAAAUUAGUUUAGAACAAAAGAGCUCCAGAACAACGGCAUAAUUCUUAAAUUAAACCAUGCAUUUCUACCAUUCAGUAAUCCUGAGCAUAAAUCGUAAUUAUUCAUGUAAUAUUUUAAUAUAUUGUACAACAGAUCCUUAUUACAUCUUAGUGGUGGUACUGUAAAUGAAUUAUUCAGCUGUUUUGUAGCUGUGGUGGACUACACUGUGAGGUUGUGUUCAGCACCACAUUUCACCAAGAAAGGAUAGUCUGAAAGAUGGUCAGACUCAAACUUUUUAUUUUUGUUCAUUAAAAUGUUUUCUUUUAGGGAAAUGUUAAUAUUGUUAUUGGUGUGGAAUACCAUGAAGUUGUAGGUUUUAUACCAUUUGUUUUUUUAAACUGCCCAGUGUUUCCAGAUUUCUAUGAAAUAUGACCUAUAGUUACUUACAAUGAGUUUAAAUAGUUUUCCUUCCAGAAAAUAAUUGUUACAGAAGCAGCUUUGUGGUGGAAUGGUGUGGGCAUAUACCGGUCAUUAAAAUAUAUGCGCAAGUAGACUGCUGAUUGGACAGCUCAUCCUUCUCAGAGAUGACAUGUCCUAAGGAUUUUUUAAAAUGUUUUAAUCCAAUUCAUGCUUUUGCAACAUUUGGAUAUUAACUUUUUAAAGUUAAAUUUUCACUGGGCAGUUACUUAAGUAGCACAUGGACAUGUAGAUAUUCACUCUGCAUUGUGAUAAUGAAGUUGCUGGGCAGAGAACCCUUUUCCAUCCAAUUUGCUUCAUGGGGAAAAAAUGCAAAACUUUAGAUUCCUCCCCAUGUUGGUUAGUUGCUUUAUUUUCCAGGACAGUUUCCCCAUGAAUAAAAACCCUCCACAUCCUGUUUGCUCUUUACUGUAGAAGUCAGUGCCUUCCCCUGCCAAGAGGCUGGGCUGUUAUUUGAGAAGUGACUGUCCUAUGCAAGCCUUUUCUACCAGCUUGUAUCAAAAAGCCCUUUGUAAAACUCAUGUAGCUAGUUAUUAGUGUACAUGUUUUUUUUGUUUAGGUACCUUUUUAAAAUGUAACCCUCUGGAACUGUGUUUGAUAAUUGAACAGGUACGCUGUAUGUAAAACACUUUUGUAGAUCCCUGUAUUUGGUUUUACGUGUUCUAUUUUUCUACUGUUAACUCAAAUGGUGCAUAACAGUGUGGAACUUGGGCAUCUUCGAAAUAAACUGCUUCAAUAUAA